CCUACGGGUGGCAGCAGUGAGGAAUAUUGGUCAAUGGGCGCGAGCCUGAACCAGCCAAGUCGCGUGAGGGAAGACGGUCCUAUGGAUUGUAAACCUCUUUUGUCGGGGAGCAAAAGACGCCACGCGUGGCGUUCCGAGAGUACCCGAAGAAAAAGCAUCGGCUACCUCCGUGCCAGCAGCCGCGGUAAUACGGAGGAUGCGAGCGUUAUCCGGAUUUAUGGGGUGUAAAGGGUGCGCAGGCGGAAGAUCAAGUCAGCGGGUUACUUGAGAGUCUCCUCCUCUUCGAGCCGUUGAAACUGGUUGUCUUUCGUGCGUGAGGUGUCUGCGCAAUGCGUGGUGUAGCGGUGAAAUGCAUAGAUAUCACGCAGAACUCCGAUUGCGACGGCAGCAUACCGGCGCUCAACUGACGCUCAUGCACGAAUGUGUGGGUAUCGAACAGGAUUAGAUACCCUUGUAGUC
rnacentral:rRNA from 1 species